CCCUUAGAUGUUCUGGGCCACACGCGCGUUACACUGAUGAAGCCAGCGAGUAUAUCGCCUUCACCGGAAGGUGCGGGUAAUCUUGUGAAACUUCAUCGUGCUGGGGAUAGACCAUUGCAAUUAUUGGUCUUGAACGAGGAAUUCCUAGUAAGCAUGAGUCAUCAACUCGUGCUGAUUACGUCCCUGCCCUUUGUACACACUGCCCGUCGCUACUACCGAUUGAAUGGUUUAGUGAGAUCUCGGGAUUGGAGACGUUGCGCCGCAAGGCACAUCGUCCUCGAGAGCUUGAUCAAACUUGAUCAUUUAGAGGAAGUAAAAGUCGUAACA
rnacentral:rRNA from 1 species